rnacentral:lncRNA from 1 species
UUUUUAUUAGCCUAAUGAUGGAAAACUCGUUUUUUGAGCGGUUCUGUGGAUUAUUGUUAGGAGCCUUUUCUAUCAUUUUUGCUGUACUAGCCAUUAUCAUCAUCAAAAACACCAUCCUCUGUCUGUCUGUCUGUCUCUCCCUCUCUCUCUCUCUCUCUCUCUCUCUCUCUCUCUCUCUCUCUCUCUCUCUCUCUCUCUCUCUCUCUCUCUCUCUCUCUCUCUCUCCCUGGCUUGUAUGGUUGAAGAUGUGAAGAGGCUCGUAGUGAUAAUCCAGUGGUUAACCGUCAAUGACCAGAUAUAGCUAUGAGAUCUGAAGGCUUGUCCAGAGACAUUUGUUCCUCCUAAGAUAUGUGAUUGAAUCUUAAAUCAUUUUUGUUCCUCAGUUAUUCUAUGGUUGUAUUUUCUUAGUUUCCACAUAUUUAUUACACUUCUCCUUUAUUACAUCCUUUAUUUACCAUUGCAUCGAAGUUGCGACUGCGUUUCGUUGUAGUAGUGAUGCUGUGUUAACGAUCAGAUCUACUCUUUUGUCUAUUCUGUGUCUCCAUGAUAUAACUGUAGAUGCCCACUGGUUUUUGUUUUUUUUUUAAGAAUGUUUUCUAGUGUAGCUAUUUUGCUGCCUCAGAAAUAUGGUUCAAUUUUUAUUAGCCUAAUGAUGGAAAACUCAUUUUUGGAGCGGUUCUGUGGAUUAUUGUUAGGAGCCUUUUCUAUCAUUUUUGCUUACUAGCCAUUAUCAUCAUCAUAAACACCAUCCUCUAUCUAUCCAUCUCUCUCUCUCUCUCUCUCUCUCUCUCUCUCUCUCUCUCUCUCUCUCUCUCUCGCUCUCUCUCUCUCUCUCCCUCCCUCCCUCCCCCCUGGCUUGUAGUGUUGAAGAUGUGAAGAGGCUCAUAGUGAUUAUCCAGUGGUUAACUGUCAAUGACCAGACAUAGCUAUGAGAUCUGAAGGCUUGCCCAGAAACAUUUGUUUCUUUUAAGAUAUGUUUAUUGAAUCUUAAAUCAUUUUUGUUCCUUAGUUAUUCUAUGGUUGUAUUUUCUUGGUUUCCACAUAUUUAUUAUGCUCCUCCUUUAUUAUGUCCUUUAUUUACCAUUGCUUCGAAGUUGCGACUGCAUUUCAUUGUAGUAGUGAUGCUGUGUUGACGAUCAGAUCUACUCUUUUGUCUAUUCUGUGCGUCUGCAUGAUAUAACUGCAUAUGCCCACUCGUUUUUGUUUAUUGUUUUUAACCAUGUUUUCUAGUGUAUCUAUUUUGCUGCCUCAGGAAGAUGGUUCAAUGUUUAUUAGCCUAAUGAUGGAAAACUCAUUUUUGGAGCGGUUCUGUGGAUUAUUGUUAGGAGCCUUUUCUAUCAUUUUUGCUGUACUAGCCAUUAUCAUCAUCAUAAACACCAUCCUCUCUCUCUGUCUCUCUGUCUCUCUGUCUCUCUCUCUCACUCUCUCUCUGUCUCUCUCUCUCUCUCUGUGGCUUGUACGGUUGGAGAUGUGAAGAGGCUCGUAGUGAUAAUCCAGUGGUUAACCGUCAAUGACCAGAUAUAGCUAUGAGAUCUGAAGGCUUGCCCAGAGACAUUUGUUCCUUUUAAGAUAUGGUUAUUGAAUCUUAAAUCAUUUUUGUUCCUCAGUUAUUCUAUGGUUGUAUUUUCUUGGUUUCCACAUUUUUUACACUCCUCCUUUAUUAUGUCCUUUAUUUACCAUUGCAUCAAAGUUGCGACUGCGUUUUGUUGUAGUAGUGAUGCUGUGUUAACGAUCAGAUCUACUCUUUUGUCUAUUCUGUGUCUCCAUGAUAUAACUGUAGAUGCCCACUCGUUUUUGUUUUUUUUAAACUGUGUUUUCUAGUGUAGCUAUUUUGCUGCCUCAGGACGAUGGUUCAAUUUUUAUUAGCCUAAUGAUGGAAAACUCAUUUUUGGAGCGGUUCUGUGGAUUAUUGUUAGGAGCCUUUUCUAUCAUUUUUGCUUACUAGCCAUUAUCAUCAUCAUAAACACCAUCCUCUAUCUAUCCAUCUCUCUCUCUCUCUCUCUCUCUCUCUCUCUCUCUCUCUCUCGCGCGGGCGUGUAGAGAUGAAGAUAAAAAGAGGCUCAUAGUGAUAAUCCAGUGGUUAAAUGUCAAUGAAUAUAUAUAGCUAUGAGAUCUGAAGGCUUGUCUAUAGACAUUUUUUGUCCUUCUAAGAUAUGCUUAUUAAAUUGUAAAUCACUUUUCGUCCUUAGUUAUUCUAUGGUGUUUUAUCUUCAUUUCUACAUAUCUAUUACGCUCCUCUUUAUUAUGCCCCUUAUUGACCAUUAUAUGGAAUUUGUGACUGCAUUUCGUUUUAAACAUUUGCACUGAAUAAUAUGUAUUUCCCAUGUGGUGCAAAUAUCCUUCCCAAGGUGCCCUUGAAACGCUGAUAAAAUUAAUGUGAUGGAACUUCAGUCAACUGCAAAUAGUAGAGCGUCCUGGAAUGUGGUUAUUUUGACAUUGUCAAUGGCACAGUUAAGAGUUUCAAUUGGUUUGUUUUUCUUUUGGUUUGGUGUGACUAUUUGGCAACUAUUGUAUGAAAUUUUGUUUGCUAGUGCUAGUUUAGAUAUUUAAGGUGUAUGGCUAACUGUAUGAGAUUCCAUAGAUUAAAUUGUGUUUGAUGGUAGAUUCCAUUUUAGUACUCCAUUGAUCUGAUCUUUGUUGGAAUUCAAAUAAAAGGUGAAGUUAUUAUUGUAGGUUUGAGCAUAUGAGACUUUAAAAAACAACGCUGUACUAAUGAUCAGAUCUAGUGUCUUUUGUUUAUUCUGUGCCUUUCCACGUUCUACUUGUGGUUGUCUGAGUUUAUAUUUCUU